UUUCAUCUAUUAAAAGAAGUAAAAAAUAUUAACUACAAAAAGUAUAUUAAAUCUAUUUAUCUAAUUUGACAAAAAAUACAUUCUGUAAUUAGAGGAAUUUGACCUGAAAGCCCUGUUAAGAUUUUAGAUGUUAACUUACAAGAUAUUUCUUGCGCAUCACAAUCUACUUUGACUCAAAAAAAAAAACUUUAUUAUGUUCUGUAUUACUUUUACGUAGAUUGGAACAUUACUUUUCUGAUGACAUAAGUCAAUAUUUCUUUUUUGUCCUUAAUAUUACUCUCUUUUGUAU
rnacentral:lncRNA from 1 species